GAUAGGUGGGAGGCUUUGAAGUGUGGACGCCAGUCUGCAUGGAGCCGACCUUGAAAUACCACCCUUUGAUGUUUGAUGUUCUAACGUGGACCCGUUACCCGGGUUGCGGACAGUGUCUGGUGGGUAGUUUGACUGGGGCGGUCUCCUCCUAAAGAGUAACGGAGGAGCACGAAGGUUGGCUAAUCCUGGUCGGACAUCAGGAGGUUAGUGCAAUGGCAUAAGCCAGCUUGACUGCGAGCGUGACGGCGCGAGCAGGUGCGAAAGCAGGUCAUAGUGAUCCGGUGGUUCUGAAUGGAAGGGCCAUCGCUCAACGGAUAAAAGGUACUCCGGGGAUAACAGGCUGAUACCGCCCAAGAGUUCAUAUCGACGGCGGUGUUUGGCACCUCGAUGUCGGCUCAUCACAUCCUGGGGCUGAAGUAGGUCCCAAGGGUAUGGCUGUUCGCCAUUUAAAGUGGUACGCGAGCUGGGUUUAGAACGUCGUGAGACAGUUCGGUCCCUAUCUGCCGUGGGCGCUGGAGAACUGAGGGGGGCUGCUCCUAGUACGAGAGGACCGGAGUGGACGCAUCACUGGUGUUCGGGUUGUCAUGCCAAUGGCACUGCCCGGUAGCUAAAUGCGGAAGAGAUAAGUGCUGAAAGCAUCUAAGCACGAAACUUGCCCCGA
rnacentral:rRNA from 1 species